rnacentral:tRNA from 1 species
GCAAAGUAGUUUAGGUGAGAAUAAUAGGUUGUGGACCUAUGGGGGGAUUAUAUUCCUUUGUCA